AUGAAAGAUCUGGGAGAAGCCGAUGUAAUUCUAAACAUCAAACUUAUUAAGGAUGAGAGUGGGAUUACAUUAACGCAAUCUCACUAUGUUGAGAAGGUCUUGAACCGAUUCGGUUUUAUGGAUAGCAAGCCUUCUCCAACACCUUAUGAUCCCAGCGUGACACUCAGAAAGAACAAGAAAGAAACGAGAGAUCAAUUAAGAUACUCUCAAAUUGUCGGUUCACUCAUGUACCUAGAUAGCGCUACAAGACCAGAUAUCUCUUUUGCUGUGAGCAAACUGAGUAGGUUCAUGUCCAACCCGGGUGAUGAUCAUUGGCAUGCACUAGAAAGGGUCUUGCGCUAUCUGAGAGGUACUAUGAGUUACGGAAUUACUUAUUCAGGGCAUCCUGCUGUGCUAGAAGGAUAUAGUGAUUCAAAUUGGAUCUCCGAUGUUGAUGUACUUUACGCAACAAGUGGGUAUGUAUUUACUCAUGCUGGUGGCGCAGUGUCAUGGAGGACUUGCAAGCAAACCAUAUUGACGAGGUCAACUAUGGAAGCAGAAUUAACUGCUUUGGACACAGCUACUGUUGAGGCAGAAUGGCUGCGUGAGCUCUUGAUGGACUUGCCGGUUGUUGAAAAACCUGUACCGGCUAUUCUUAUGAAUUGUGAUAACCAAACAUGUGAAAAGACGUUUGAAGUCUGUCAGGAAGUUGAGAAACUCCGGAGUAAUAACUGUUACGUAUAUACAAACAGACAAAAACCUGGCAGAUCCCUUUACAAAGGGACUAUCACGAAAUGUGAUAGAUAUUGCAUCGAGGGAGAUGGGUAUGAGACCCAUAGAUGUUACACCAUAGUAGUGACCCAACCUUUGUGA
rnacentral:rRNA from 1 species